GUACGUAGGGGGCGAGCGUUACCCGGAAUCACUGGGCGUAAAGGGAGCGUAGGUGGCCUGACAUGUCGACUGUGAAAACCCGGAGCUCAACUCCGGACUUGCAGUUGAAACUGCCAGGCUUGAGGACGGUAGAGGAAGACGGAACUGCCAGUGUAGGGGUAAAAUCCUUAGAUAUUGGCAGGAACGCCGGUGACGAAGGUGGUUUUCUGGGCCGGUUCUGACACUGAUGCUCGAAAGCCAGGGGAGCGAACGGGAUUAGAUACCCCGGUAGUCCUGGCCCUAAACGAUGUUCACUAGGUGUGGGGAGCGGAAAGCUUUCCGUGCUAAAGCUAACGCGAUAAGUGAACCGCCUGGGGAGUACGCCCGCAAGGGUGAA
rnacentral:rRNA from 1 species